AUGAAUUUGAGUGUGUUCACAUAUUCCACCAGCUCUAAUUUGCAUUUAUACAUAGGCUUACAUAUCUUCAAGUACUGCAGCUCUGAAUGUUUCACAUCUUUCAGAGGUAAUUUGAUUUUCCCCUGUUUUAUUUUACAUAAGCAGGAUUGCUUCACGGUGGAGGGGGAAGAUUUGAGGCAUGACUUUGAACGCCUACAGCUGGCCAUGGAAAUGGUAGGAUUUCUUCCCAAGAUGCGAAGACAGGGAGCUGCGUGCAGUGGCCUGGCAGCCAUUUCCACAGAGAAGGACGCCGAGGGUGGGGAGCGAAUGCGUGUGCUCCACAGGACGCCCAGGAGGUGGACGAGAGGCAGCACCAGACAGCUCUGGAAUAGAGGUGAGGUGCUCUGCGUGACGGACAGCCACAAAGUCUGUCCAAGCAGCAUUCGAACCCCACGUGCCUCCCCCACCCAGCUCAACGAAGCAGCAGCCCCUCCCCCUCUCUGCAGAAAUCUGUAUUCUGGGUCCCUGGGCCUGGGAGCCCCUGACACAGCUGGGCAAGGAGUCCUCCCUUGGAGCUGGCGUGUUCCCCUUUCUCCUCACACGUGGGUUUCAGUAUCCUGGAAACCAUGA
rnacentral:lncRNA from 1 species